GACGAACGCUGGCGGCGUGCUUAACACAUGCAAGUCGAACGGAGAGCGAUGGUAGCUUGCUUCUACCGAUCUUAGUGGCGAACGAGUGAGUAACGCGUAAUCAACCCGCCCCUCAGAGGGGGACAACAGAUGGAAACGACUGCUAAUCCCGCAUACGAUCUAAUCUCGGCAUCGAGGAUAGAUGAAAGGUGGCCUCUACAUGUAAGCUAUCACUGAAGGAGGGGAUUGCGUCUGGUUAGGUAGUUGGAGGGGUAACGGCCCACCAAGGCGAUGAUCAGUAGGCGGACCGAGAGGAUGAACGGCCGCAGUGGGAAGGGGACACGGCCCAGACUCCGACGGGAGGCAGCAGUGGGGAUUCUUCCGCAAUGGACGAAAGUGUAACGGAGCAACGCCGCGUGAGCGAUGACGGCCUUCGGGUUGUAAAGCUCUGUUAAUCGGGACGAAAGGCCUUCUUGCGAAUAGUGAGAAGGAUUGACGGUACCGGAAUAGAAAGCCACGGCUAACUACGUG
rnacentral:rRNA from 1 species